ACAAGGGAUGGGAAAUCUGAAAUAGUGGCCCAAAGCAGCCAUUGGAAGAAUUGGCCAUAACAGCCAUUACACCAAUAAAAAAAUACAGCUGGAACAGAAAUUUUUUUGUUGGUACCCAUUCUUCUUCCAGCUCUCUUCAAACUCACUUUCAACUGCUUAAGAGCAACUUGUUCUGUUCAACAAUUGCAACCCUUAAAUCAAUUUUAACUCAAUUUAUCGCUAUAUUUGAGCUGGAUUUGGACAUCAAUCAACUUCCACCAGCUAUUUCAAGUAAGUCAUAAAAUUAUUCUUUUACACUAUGUUUGAAAGCUUCUGUCGGAUAGGAAAGGAAAGGAUAAUGUUUUAAUCCAUGAGAUGAGAAAAGAAAUGAAACGAAAGGUUAAGUAAUUUCUCGUUUUUGGAAAUUCAAGAAAUAGGAAAGGACUCUAAGCACUAAGGGAUUUAAUGUUAAGGGACAGAUAACUCUUAUUCCCUUAAUUUUGAUGGAAAAUAAAGUGGAGUUUGAACGGAUAACUAAUCCAUUCUUAUCCAUUCUUUUGCAACAUCACCAAACUCCCAAACAGGAGAUAUAUCUCAUCCCUUGACCUUUUCCUCCCUUCUUAGCCCUCCAUCCAAGCAAAGUGUUAGGCUUUGAUAACGUUGAUUUAUUGCAUUUCAGUUAAACUAAUUUCAGUCAUUCAUAAUAAUAAUAAUAAUA
rnacentral:misc_RNA from 1 species